rnacentral:guide_RNA from 1 species
AAUCACAAACAGAUAGAAGACAGAAGAGAUGUAUAGAUAU